AUACGGAGGGUGCAAGCGUUACUCGGAAUCACUGGGCGUAAAGCGCGCGCAGGCGGCUAUUUAAGUUGGAUGUGAAAGCCUAUGGCUCGACCAUAGAACUGCAUCCAAAACUAUUUAGCUAGAGUGUGGGAGAGGAAGAUGGAAUUAGUUGUGUAGGGGUAAAAUCCGUAGAGAUAACUAGGAAUACCAAAAGCGAAGGCAAUCUUCUGGAACACUACUGACGCUGAGGCGCGAAAGCGCGGGGAGCAAACAGGAUUAGAAACCCUAGUAGUCC
rnacentral:rRNA from 1 species